rnacentral:tRNA from 2 species
CGGGGUGUGGCGCAGUUGGCAGCGCAUCUGGUUUGGGACCAGAGGGUCCUGUGUUCGAGUCACAGUACCCCGA